rnacentral:rRNA from 1 species
UGAGCAAUCUGCCCUUCUCAUCGGAAUAAGCGUUGGAAACGACGUCUAAUGCCGAAUACGACCUCCUUUCGCAUGAUCGGAGGUGGAAAGCUCCGGCGGAGAAGGAUGAGCUCGCGGCCUAUCAGCUAGUUGGUGUGGGUAAUGGCCCACCAAGGCGACGACGGGUAGCCGGCCUGAGAGGGUGACCGGCCACACUGGGACUGAGACACGGCCCAGACCUCCUACAGGAGGCG